rnacentral:sRNA from 1 species
UUGGGUGGGGGCCCCAGGACUGGACCUGUAGUGCCACCUCCUGGGGUGUGCGGGGAGGUGCUCUGGUUAGCCAGAGAAGCUGGUGGUCCUGGGCAGGCUUGUGUGCACGUGUGUUCAUGUGUGUGAUGCAUGUAUCCAUGUGUGGAUCUGUGUUCAUGCGUGUGAUGCAUGUGUGUUCAUAUGUAAACCCGUGUUCGUGUGUGAUGCAUGUAUCCAUGUGUGGAUCUGUGUUCAUGCGUGUGAUGCAUGUGUGUUCAUAUGUACACCCGUGUUCGUGUGUGUGAUGCAUGUAUCCAUGUGUGGAUCUGUGUUCAUGCGUGUGAUGCAUGUGUUCAUAUGUACACCCGUGUUCGUGUGUGUGAUGCAUGUAUCCAUGUGUGGAUCUGUGUUCAUGCGUGUGAUGCAUGUGUUCAUAUGUACACCCGUGUUCGUGUGUGAUGCAUGUGUCCAUGUGUGGAUCUGUGUUCAUGCACGUGAUGCAUGUGUGUUCAUAUGUACACCCGUGUUCGUGUGUGUGAUGCAUGUGUCCAUAUGUGGAUCUGUGUUCAUGCGUCUUAUGCGUGUGUGUUCAUGUUCGUGUGUGUGGUGCAUGUGUCUAUGGAUCUGUGUUCAUGCAUGUGAUGCAUGUGUGUCUAUGUGUGUACCCAUGUUCAUGUGUGUGAUGCAUGUGUGUGCACACACUUUCUAUGUGUAUUCCCAGCACUCACAGCUGCCCUGGAUCCAUAUCCAGCUCUCGUGCCACUUCCUGUGUGACCUUGAGUGGCCAGCAGCCCCCUGGGUUAGCCCCCUGGGGAGACAUGGCCAGGUUGAGCAGGAUAUGGGUGUAGGACUUGUGAUGCCAAUCCUGUGCCAGUCGGGAGGCCCAGGGCAUGGGGAUGGCCGGGCUACCCAGCGAGCUGUUGGCUGUGCCGGGACAGACUCCAGGCUCCCAGUGGCCCUGCUCUGAAGCGUGGCUCUGUCUCGCCACCUGGGGGCAGCCAGGUCCCCCUCCCCACCCCGCCGCAGGAGACUGGCCGUCCCUGCCAGCCUCGACGUUUCUGACAACUGGCUUCGGCCGGAGCCCCCUGGCCAGGAAGCCCGAGUGCAGAGCUGGAAGGAAGAGAAGAAACCCCACCUUCAGGGCAAACCAGGGAGACCCUCUUCCCCGGCCAAUGUCCCUGCUCUGCCUGGCGAGACGGUGACCUCCCCAGUCAGGGUGAGUAGCGAUGGGGAGCCGGGCAGGGGCCCAGCCCUCCGGCAUCCUCACCGCCCCUCCGUUCCCAGCUGCACCCCGACUACCUCUCCCCGGAGGAGAUACAGAGGCAGCUGCAGGACAUCGAGAGGCGGCUGGAUGCCCUGGAGCUCCGCGGCGUGGAGCUGGAGAAGCGACUGCGGGCGGCCGAGGGAGAUGACGCUGAGGAUAGCCUCAUGGUGGACUGGUUCUGGCUUAUUCACGAGAAGCAGCUUCUGCUGAGACAGGAGUCAGAGCUGAUGUACAAGUCCAAGGCCCAGCGUCUGGAGGAGCAGCAGCUGGACAUCGAGGGCGAGCUGCGCCGGCUCAUGGCCAAGCCUGAGGCUCUGAAGUCACUGCAGGAGCGGCGGCGGGAGCAGGAGCUGCUGGAGUGGUACGUGAGCACCGUGAACGACCGCAGUGACAUCGUGGACUCGCUGGACGAGGACCGGCUCCGGGAACAAGAGGAGGAUCAGAUGCUGCGGGACAUGAUUGAGAAGCUGGGCCUCCAGAGGAAGAAGUCCAAGUUCCGCUUGUCCAAGAUCUGGUCACCAAAAAGCAAAAGCAAAAGCAGCCCCUCCCAGUAGUAGCCAGUGGGGCCAUGGGCUCAGCCUGGACCCGGCAUCCGGACUUGGACCUGGGGACGUGGGCUCGGCCUGGACCCAGCAUCUGGACUUGGACUCAGGAAGGGCCUCCUGUCCCUACAAGGGGCAUGUGGACAGCAGGGACCUGCGCUACCGUCUGGCCUCAAUAAAGAAACGGACCACACGG